AGGGCUAUACGUCGUUCUUGCUCCAGGCGUUUUCGCUGAUCAGAUGCCUCCUUGGCUCGGGCCUCAUUAGACAGACGCUGCUGUUCAAGUGCAAUCUGCUCACGGUGGAUUAAAGUUGGCAGCGGCUGCUGCUUUUGGGCUGCUGCUUCCUGCAAGAGCUGCUGUUGGAGCGGAAGAACAUUUGGAUGAGUAGAGAGUGAUGUUGCCAUCCUGCUGCUAUACGUAUUAAAGAUGUCCUCUGCUGAGUCGAUGUUGUGUGCCUCUCGGAUGUCCUGGCUUCUGAUGUAUCUGCUGGCCAUUGCAAUCUUUCUCACGAGCCGGUUUUGCGUGCCUUCUAUCCUACAGAAUUGAGAGUCACAUACCAAGGCCCCCCACACAGACGGCUCUGGCUGCCUAUAAUCCAGUUUAACUUGAUGGCUGCUCCCCUCACUCUAUCAACCAGACAUGAUACAUGUGCAUGUAGAACCAGCUUCCUGUCCAUUAUCAGUCCUAGGUACCGGUGACUGGACUUAUUAACAAUAUGAGUAUCAUACAUUUUUGGUGACAGUUCUCUAAUUCCAUUUUCAAUUGAUUUCCUUGUGUAUAAUACAUGUAUCGUUUUGUCUUUGUUUAGGCUGAUGCCCCAUUUAGAGGCCCAGGAGGUGAAGCUUUGGAGAUAUUUCUCGUUCGUACGGACCGCUGUAGUGGCCAAGCUUCUGGCACACAGGAUGAUGGUGUCGUCUGCGUGCGGCAGCGGCAUAUCUGACGUGAAAACAGUAUACAACACGGGGCCUAGGACACUCCCCUGUGGGACUCCAGCGCAGAUUUUUCCGGAUCUAGAUCGUAGUCCGUUUUGGCCAUUUACAAUAAAUGAUCUAUUAGUGAGAUAACUUUCUAGAA